UAAAUACCGCCACCGGGUGGUUAAUUGCAGAAGCAUUCGUUUAUACAUCGUUAGGUCUUUGAAGAUGUAUAAAACGGGUGCUUUUUUUGA
rnacentral:ncRNA from 1 species